rnacentral:rRNA from 1 species
GAUGAACGCUGGCGGCGUGCCUAAUACAUGCAAGUCGAGCGAACAGACGAGGAGCUUGCCCCGCUGACGUUAGCGGCGGACGGGUGAGUAACACGUGGAUAACCUACCUAUAAGACUGGAAUAACUUCAGGAAACCGGAGCUAAUACCGGAUAAUAUAGUGAACCGCAUGGUUCAAUAGUGAAAUACGGCUUUGCUGUUACUUAUAGAUGGAUCCGCGCCGCAUUAGCUAGUUGGUAGGGUAACGGCUUACCAAGGCAACGAUGCGUAGCCGACCUGAGAGGGUGAUCAGCCACACUGGAACUGAGACACGGUCCAGACUCCUACGGGAGGCAGCAGUAGGGAAUCUUCCGCAAUGGGCGAAAGCCUGACGGAGCAACGCCGCGUGAGUGAUGAAGGUCUUCGGGUCGUAAAGCUCUGUUAUUAGGAAAGAACAAAUGUGUAAGUAACUAUGCGCGUCUUGACGGUACCUAAUCAAAAAGCACCGGCUAACUACGUG